AAAAAAAUUGUUCUGGUAAUACUCUGUUCAACACUACAAGUAAUUCUGCAUCAAGAGAAAGCUCCAAAUAUUCUAACAACCAUUCAGCAUUUCCAAUGAUCUUAGAUCCAUGCUUGGUGCGAAAACUGAAAACGAGAGAAAGGAAAUGCUGUGGCCAGGUCCAUCUGAUACUGUGAAAUAUUUCUUAUCUUGAUUUUCUCCUGGAUAAGAUCCUGGGGCUUGGCUGGAGCCAAGAUGGCUGAAUAGGAACAGAUCCGGUCUACAGCUCCCAGCGUGAGUGAUGCAGAAGACGGGUGAUUUCUGCAUUUCCAUCUGAGGAACGCAGCUCCUCACCAGCAAUGGAACAAAGCUGGAUGGAGAAUGACUUUGACGAGUUGAGAGAAGAAGGCUUCAGACAAUCAAACUACUCCGAGCUACAGGAGGAAAUUCAAACCAAAGGCAAAGAAGUUGAAAAGUUUGAAAAAAAUUUAGACGAAUGUAUAACUAGAAUAACCAAUACAGAGAAGUGCUUAAAGGAGCUGAUGGAGCUGAAAGCCAAGGCUUGAGAACUACGUGAAGAAUACAGAAGCCUCAGGAGCCAAUGCGAUCAACUGGAAGCAAGGGUAUCAGUGAUGGAAGAUGAAAUGAAUGAAAUGAAGUGAGAAGGGAAGUUUAGAGAAAAAAGAAUAAAAAGAAACAAACAAAGUCUCCAAGAAAUAUGGGACUAUGUGAAAAGACCAAAUCUACAUCUGAUUGGUGUACCUGAAAGUGACAGGGAGAAUGGAACCAAGUUGGAAAACAUUCUGCAGGAUAUUAUCCAGGAGAACUUCCCCAAUCUAGCAAGGCAGGCCAACAUUCAGAUUCAGGAAAUAUAGAGAACGCCACAAAGAUGCUCCUCGAGAAGAGCAACUCCAAGACACAUAAUUGUCAGAUUCACCAAAGUUGAAAUGAAGGAAAAAAUGUUAAGGGCAGCCAGAGAGAAAGGUCAGGUUACCCACAAAGGGAAGCGCAUCAGACUAACAGCGGAUCUCUCGGCAGAAACUCUACAAGCCAGAAGAGAGUGGGCGCCAAUAUUCAACAUUCUUAAAGAAAAGAAUUUUCAACCCAGAAUUUCAUAUCCAGCCAAACUAAGCUUCAUAAGCGAAGGAGAAAUAAAAUACUUUACAGACAAGCAAAUGCUGAGAGAUUUUGUCACCACCAGGCCUGCCCUAAAAGAGCUCCUGAAGGAAGCACUAAAUAUGGAAAGGAACAACCGGUACCAGCCACUGCAAAAUCAUGCCAAAUUGUAAAGACCAUCAAGGCUAGGGAGAAACUGCAUCAACUAACAAGCAAAAUCACCAGCUAACAUCAAAAUGACAGGAUCAAAUUCACACAUAACAAUAUUAACUUUAAAUGUAAAUGGACUAAAUGCUCCAAUUAAAAGACACAGACUGGCAAAUUGGAUAAAGAGUCAAGACCCAUCAGUGUGCUGUAUUCAGGAAACCCAUCUCACGUGCAGAGACAAAUAUAGGCUCAAAAUAAAAGGAUGGAGGAAGAUCUACCAAGCAAAUGGAAAACAAAAAAGGCAGGGGUUGCAAUCCUAGUCUCUGAUAAAACAGACUUUAAACCAACAAAGAUCAAAAGAGACAAAGAAGGCCAUUACAUAAUGGUAAAGGGAUUAGUUCAACAAGAAGAGCUAACUGUCCUAAAUAUAUAUGCACCCAAUACAGGAGCACCCAGAUUCAUAAAGCAAGUCCUGAGUGACCUACAAAGAGACUUAGACUCCCACACAAUAAUAAUGGGAGACUUUAACAUCCCACUGUCAACAUUAGACAGAUCAACGAGACAGAAAGUCAACAAGGAUAUCCAGGAAUUGAACUCAGCUCUGCACCAAGCAGACCUAAUAGACAUCUACAGAACUCUCCACCCCAAAUCAACAGAAUAUACAUUUUUUCCAGCACCGCACCACACCUAUUCCAAAAUUGACCACACAGUUGGAAGUAAAGCUCUCCUCAGCAAAUGUAAAAGAUCAGAAAUUAUAACAAACUGUCUCUCAGACCACAGUGCAAUCAAACUAGAACUCAGGAUUAAGAAACUCACUCAAAACCGCUCAACUACAUGGAAACUGAACAACUUACUCCUGAAUGACUACUGGGUACAUAACAAAAUGAAGGCAGAAAUAAAGAUAUUCUUUGAAACCAAUGAGAACAAAGACACAACAUACCAGAAUCUCUGGGACAGAUUCAAAGCAGUGUGUAGUGGGAAAUGUAUAGCACUAAGUGCCCCACAAGAGAAAGCAGGAAAGAUUCAAAAUUGACACCCUAACAUCACAAUUAAAAGAACUAGAGAAGCAAGAGCAAACAAAUUCAAAAACUAGCAGAAGGCAAGAAAUAACUAAGAUCAGAGCAGAACUGAAGGAAAGAGAGACACAAAAAACCCUUCAAAAAAUUAAUGAAUCCAGGAGCUGGUUUUUUGAAAAGAUCAACAAAAUUGAUAGACUGCUAGCAAGACUAAUAA
rnacentral:lncRNA from 1 species